rfam:Triticum urartu cultivar G1812 contig912333, whole genome shotgun sequence.
AUUCUACUCCCUCCGUUGCACAAUACUACAUGCCUUCUAUUUGUCAAAAUAUAUAUGUAUCUAGACAUGUCUUAGUAUAUAGGUACAUCCAUUUUUAGACAAAUGGAAGUCAAGUAUUUUGGAACGGAGGGAGUACACA